AACUACUUGGCUGAUUGGAAAGUGUAUGUUUUGAAAACAUGAAAUGGUGGUUCGACUCCCCCAGUAGUUU
rnacentral:tRNA from 1 species